UGCGUAGGCGGAUAAAUAAGUCAGUGGUGAAAUCUUUCGGCUCAACCGGGAAACUGCCAUUGAUACUGUUGAUCUUGAGUUCGGUUGAGGUAGGCGGAAUGUGUAAUGUAGCGGUGAAAUGCUUAGAUAUUACACAGAACACCAAUUGCGUAGGCAGCUUACUAGACCGACACUGACGCUGAGGCACGAAAGCGUGGGGAGCGAACAGGAUUAGAUACCCUGGUAGUCC
rnacentral:rRNA from 1 species